rnacentral:rRNA from 1 species
ACACUCCUGCGGGAGGCAGCAGUGGGGAAUUUUGGACAAUGGGCGAAAGCCUGAUCCAGCAAUGCCGCGUGAGUGAAGAAGGCCUUCGGGUUGUAAAGCUCUUUUGUCAGGGAAGAAACGGUGAGAGCUAAUAUCUCUUGCUAAUGACGGUACCUGAAGAAUAAGCACCGGCUAACUACGUGCCAGCAGCCGCGGUAAUACGGAGGGUGCAAGCGUUAAUCGGAAUUACUGGGCGUAAAGCGUGCGCAGGCGGUUUUGUAAGUCUGAUGUGAAAUCCCCGGGCUCAACCUGGGAAUUGCAUUGGAGACUGCAAGGCUAGAGUCUGGCAGAGGGGGGUAGAAAUCCAGGUGUAGCAGUGAAAUGCGUAGAUAUCUGGAGGAACACCGAUGGCGAAGGCAGCCCCCUGGGUAAAGAUUGACGCUCAGGCACGAAAGCGUGGGGAGCAAACAGGAUUAGAAACCCUGGUAGUCCCAUGAU